rnacentral:lncRNA from 1 species
CAAUGGAAACUGACCAAGUUGUCAAGUUAUUUAUUGGGGUUUAGUGGAAUGAAAGAUGAUCUUUUUUGUCCUUAUCUUCAUUCUUGGUAUAAGUGUGCAUGAAAUAACUAGAAGAUUUUCAAAGUUUUAAUUUUAUUCAAGUAGCAAGUGAUUGGUAGUUUAUCUGUAGUACAGGUUUUAGAAACCCAGUUAAUCCUUAACAAAAAAGGCAAAUGCAUAGAGAAAAAAUACUAUAUGAAUCUAAUAGCUGCUAGCAAUGAGUAAUUAAUGUGUAAUUACAAGAAUCAAAAUUAUUGACACAAUUCAAAGAAAAAUGCUGGAAAAUGUAACUUUAAAUGUAUUAUUUUACUACCAAAUUAUGUAAAAUUAGUCUUCUGUAUCUUAACUUUGCAAUCCUUAUCUGUUAGC